rfam:Magnaporthe oryzae 70-15 chromosome 1, whole genome shotgun sequence.
GGGGUUGUGGCGCAGUGGUAGCGCAUAUGCUUUGCAUCGAGUCGGACAUGGCCCGGGACACGUUUCCGGGUCUCCAGGACGGCUCGGCAACGUGCAGGCUGCAUGGGGUCGUCGGUUCGAACCCGGCCAACUCCA